ACAACAGACAUGGAGGAUUGGCGAGUGCUUGGUAAGGAAAAGUGCCAGGGAGCAGGCUGGGUGAGGGUUGUCCUGCACCCAAAGCCCGGGGUGUGGGCUCUGCAGCUGGGCCUUACCUGCCCUGCUGCAGCCCAGAGCCCACAGCCUGGAGCUGCACCCCAGUUUAUGUCCUCCAAGAACAGAGCCCCAAGGGCUCAUCUCCAGGCCCCUCUCCCUUCCCUGCACCCAGUGGGAGAGAGGGCUCUCGGCAACAGUGAGUGCUGGCAGGAGGGACUGCUGCAGCCAACUGGGGGCUCUGUGACAUGUCCAAGUCCUUGUGCUCUCUCCAGCUAGGGAAGGACAGGAGCAGGGCUGAAGAGUGCCUUUGUCAGGACCUGAUGUACCUCAAGGACCCUGAGGCCACUCUGUAAGAGGCGGCCAUCAGGUUCAUUGGGGUGGCCAUACAGCACCUGAGGGACCAAAGCAUGCCUAUGUGGAUGAGAUCUGCAGCACCCUUCAGCCCUUGCAGGCAGACAGCAAUGAAAUCGUCUCUUGCCUGGCAACUCAGACCAUCUUGAUCCU